GAUGAAGAACGCAGCGAAAUGCGAUAAGUAAUGUGAAUUGCAGAAUUCAGUGAAUCAUCGAAUCUUUGAACGCACCUUGCGCCCUUUGGCCAUUCCGAAGGGCAUGCCUGUUUGAGUAUCAUGAACACCUCAACUCUCAAGGCUCGCCAUGAUGAGCUUGGACUUUGGGGGUCUUGCUGGCCUGUGGUCGGCUCCUCUCAAAUGGAUCAGCUUGCCAGUGUUUGGUGGCAUCACAGGUGUGAUAACUAUCUGCGCUUGUGGUUUUCCAUCAGAUAACCUUCAGUGAUGGAGGUUCGCUGGAGCUCAUAAACGUCUCCCCUAAGCGGGGACAGCCCUUUGAAUGUUUGAUCUCAAAUCAGGUAGGACUACCCGCUGAACUUAAGCAUAUCAAUAAGCGGAGGA
rnacentral:misc_RNA from 1 species